UACGUAGGGGGCAAGCGUUGUCCGGAAUCAUUGGGCGUAAAGAGCGUGUAGGCGGUUCAGUAAGUCUGCUGUGAAAGUCCAGGGCUCAACCCUGGGAUGCCGGUGGAUACUGCUGGGCUAGAGUACGGAAGAGGCGAGUGGAAUUCCCGGUGUAGCGGUGAAAUGCGCAGAUAUCGGGAAGAACACCCGUGGCUAAGGCGGCUCUCUAGUACGGUACUGACGCUGAGACGCGAAAGCGUGGGGAGCGAACAGG
rnacentral:rRNA from 1 species